rnacentral:rRNA from 1 species
AUACGAAGGGUGCAAGCGUUAAUCGGAAUUACUGGGCGUAAAGCGCGCGUAGGUGGUUUUGUAAGUUGGAGGUGAAAGCCCCGGGCUCAACCUGGGAAUUGCCUCCAAAACUGCAUGACUAGAGUACGGUAGAGGGUAGUGGAAUUUCCUGUGUAGCGGUGAAAUGCGUAGAUAUAGGAAGGAACACCAGUGGCGAAGGCGACUCCCUGGACUGAUACUGACACUGAGGUGGGAAAGCGUGGGGGGCAAACAGGAUUAGAUACCCUGGUAGUCCACGCCGUAAACGAUGUCAACUAGCCGUUGGGAUCCUUGAGAUCUUAGUGGCGCAGCCAACGCAUUAAGUUGACCGCCUGGGGAGUACGGCCGCAAGGUUAAAACUCAAAUGAAUUGACGGGG